AUGAUCAAAUCGAUGGUGUAUUUCGGGCACAUCUCCAUCGGGGAGGUGGAGCUGUGGCCCAAGGGGGAGACGAACGUGGCGGCGGCACCGUGGGUGCGGGAGAUCCGGGUGGACCGCCUCUCCCCGCCCAGCGAGCGGUGCCUGCCGCUCGCCGUGCUGCACACUGUGUCCUCCGGCGCCCUCUGCUUCGUAAUGGAGUCGAGGCCAAGCCCAGCAACAGCUGACGACGAGCCCCCGUCGUCGCUUGUUGCCAUGCACACCGCUUGCCUCAGAGACAAUAAGACAGCAGUUUUUCCACUUGGAGCAGAAGAAAUCCAUUUAGUUGCAAUGAAACCCAAGAGUAACUUGCCCAACCACGCAUGUUUUUGGGGCUAUAAAGUACCAUUAGGCCUGUAUAAUUCUUGCUUGAGUAUGUUGAAUCUUCGAUGCCUUGGUAUUGUGUUUGACCUUGAUGAAACACUAAUUGUUGCCAAUACCACACGGUCUUUUGAAGACAGAAUUGAUGCACUCCAGAGAAAAUUGAGUAAAGAGACUGAUCCACAGCGUAUUAGUGGUAUGUUGGCAGAGAUCAAGAGGUACCAAGAGGACAGGACUAUGCUAAAGCAGUAUAUAGAUGGUGAUCAAGUUAUUGAUGGUGGGAAAAUGUAUAAAGUACAAUCCGAGGUUGUUCCACCUUUAGCUGAUAAUCAUCAACCUAUGAUCCGUCCUGUUAUAAGGCUACAAGAGAAAAGUAUUAUAUUGACACGUAUAAAUCCAUCGAUAAGAGAUACCAGUGUUCUGGUGCGGUUAAGGCCUGCUUGGGAUGAUCUUCGGAGCUACUUGAUUGCAAGAGGUCGGAAACGUUUUGAGGUGUAUGUGUGCACAAUGGCUGAGAGGGACUAUGCCUUGGAAAUGUGGAGGUUGCUUGAUCCUGAUUCUAGACUGAUAAACUCUGUUCAACUUCCUCACAGGCUUGUCUGUGUCAAAUCUGGCUUUAAAAAGUCAUUGCUAAAUGUGUUCCAUGAUGGAUCUUGUCACCCUGGUAUGGCUCUAGUGAUUGAUGACCGUUUGAAAGUUUGGGAGGAGAAGGACCAAUGUCGAGUUCAUGUUGUUCCUGCCUUCUCUCCGUAUUACGCUCCGCAAGCAGAGUUCUUUGCGUUGCCAGAAAUGUUGCAUGCAAUGUUAGGGGUAGCUUCUUCAAGUAAGAACAUCUUGGCUAUAUGGGAAUUCGAUGAGGGUCUUCUACCAUCGAUCAGUGAAGUUCAUUUUGACGAUGAAUUAGAUCAUGUUCCGUCUUCUCCUGAUGUUGGAAAUUAUUUGAUUUCAGAGGAUGAGAAUGCAGCAAGUUUGAAUGUGAACAAAGAUCCGAUGGCUUUUGACGGUAUGGCAGAUGCAGAGGUUGAGAGGAGAAUGAAGGAAGCAGUUUGCAGUGUGCAAGCUGCAGAUCCAGUGACAACAAAUGUUGACGUGAUAUCAGCAGCUGCUAACCAGCAAUUUGCUACAUCUUCAUCUAUUCCGUUAGCACCACCACUGGGCAUGGUGCCUUUGAAUAACGAUCAAGGUCCUCAGCCUCCUUCAGUCAGCUGGUCUGAUGCUCAAUCUGGUAUGGUGGAUCCUUUGCAAGGUUCUCCAGCUAGAGAAGAGGGUGAGGUUCCUGAGUCUGAGUUAGAUCCUGACACAAGGAGAAGGCUUCUGAUAUUACAGCAUGGCCAAGACACAAGAGAUCCCACACCACCCUUCGCUGCAGAACCUUCUGUACAAGCCUCAGUUCCUCCAGUGCAAUCUCAGGGAAAUUGGUUUCCUGUAGAGGAUGAGAUGGACCCAAGAAACUUAAAUAGGACUUCAACGGACUUUCAUGUAGAAUCUGAUGCUGUACAUAGUGAUAAAAGUCAACCACCACAUCAACCAUACUUCCCUGCUCGUGAUAAUCCUGUAUUUUCCGAUAGAUUUAACCAUCAGAACCAGAGAUAUUCUUCUCAGCUACCUCACAGUGAGGAUCGUCAAAUGCUUCAGAACCAGGCACCUACAACAUAUAGAUCAUUUUCUGGCGAGGAUAUGGCAACCCAGCGUUUUCAUCCAGGUAACAGAAGCAGCCAAAUGGAGUCAGGACGUCAAUUUGUACAAUACACAGAGACAUCUGGUGCUGUAUUGGAGGAGAUUGCAGCGAAGUGUGGAUUUAAGGUGGAGUACAGGUCAACUUUAUGUGAUACUACAGAGUUGCGAUUCUCCAUUCAGAUUUGGAUUGUUGGAGAAAAAGUAGGCGAAGGAAUGGGAAGAACAAGGAAAGAAGCUCAACGACAAGCUGCUAAUAUAUCAUUAAGAAAUCUGGCAGAUAAAUUUCUGUCAUUUGAUCCAGAUAAGAUGACAGUUCCUAUGGAUGAUGGUUUUAGUAGCAAUCCAAACUCAUUCAAAUAUACAGGGAUUGAUGGAGAUAAUAUAGUACCAGUUGCAAGCACGUCGGAUGGGUCUAGAUAUAUGCACGAGAGAGUUGAUAACUCAACCAAAUCUGCUGGUUCUGUUGCUGCUCUUAAGGAGCUUUGUACAGCUGAGGGGUAUAACUUAGUUUUCCAAGCUCAGCCAUCUCCAUUAGAUAGUUUGACAAGGAAAGAAGUUCAUGCUCAGAUUGAAAUAGGCGGGCAAAUCCUGGGAAAAGGAGUUGGAGUAACAUGGGAGGAAGCUAAGGUGCAGGCUGCUGAUGGGGCUCUGGGAACUCUGAGAUACAUGCUUGGUCAACGUCCACAGAAACGGUCUGGAUCUCCAAGGUCAUUUGCAUCCAAUUAUAAUAAGCGCUACAAGCCAGAUUUCCAGCCGAUGGCACAAAGGAUUCCUUCUGGCAGAUAUUCUAGGAAUGACAGUCGUGUUCCCUGA
rnacentral:rRNA from 1 species